UUUGUUAGUGAUUAAUAAUCUAAUAUUUUAUUGUUUUACAGAAAGAAACUUGCAAAGAGAUGCUUUGUCCACUGAUGGAAUAAUAUUAUCCUGCUGGCUGCUGAUAUUUUUUACCUUUUCAGUAAUGGUUUUUGCUCCAAAUGGUAAAAGAAAUUGAACCUCACCUUUUCAGAAAAAAAAAAAAAAAAAAAAACUCCCUUUGUUAUACGAUCUCUAAGAAUUUGAUUGUGUUAGUCUCUCCCUCCCUCUACCAGUGAAUUCAGGUGCUCCUAAGCACAGAUUAAGUUUAUCAUAACAUAGAUCACUGCACUGAAUACAGAUAAAACAUUUAUCGUGGAUGCUGAAGAAUAAGUUAACUCUGGAAGAUAACCCUGUAAUCCAAUGUUAUAAACUGGGGUACCAUCAGGGUAGAAUAGCCCAUAGUUCCUUUCUGACGUCGGACCAGGCUUUAAGUCCUCAUUGAAAAGUGCGAAAACGUAUACAUCAAUCGGAACUGAUGGUUUUGCAGGUGUACCUUGCUUCUCCUGUAUUCUCUGCAAUAGAUUACCAUUAUAUAGGCGUGCAUUUUCAGGUGUAGCUCCUUCUUCAUCUGUAUCCCCUUUAGAUGGCCAACCUGUCUCCGAAAUCCUUACUUCAAUAUCUGUAUGCCCCAUUGCUUUAAUUGCCGAAUACACAGCAUCAAUUUGAGCAUACAACAUAUUAUCAUAAUUCAAAUUCGUAUUUGGAUCUGUCAACCCUUGGUUAGGCUGGAAAAGGACAUAAUCUAAAGGCACCUGACUCGGGUUAUACUUGUAUGCAAAAUAAGGAUAUGCAUUGAUAAGGAAAGGAGAAUUAAUUUGAGAAUGAAAAUUCAAAAGGGGUUGAAUAAAUUCAGCAAGAUCUGGUCUAAAACUCCCAGAAGAAGGAGGGUAGGAGUUGGCCAAGAUGUUGAGGGAAUGCGCGCUUGUGACGGUCACUUGCUUAUCUAGUCCAAGAUUAACAAGAGCAUGAUAUACUGUUUGCAUUGCUGGGAGUAGAUAAGACAUUAACUGAGUAUCAUUGCUAAUGAAGACCUCAUUUCCUACAGUAAUGCAAGUGAUUUUGGUCUGAGGGAGGUGCGGUUGAAGGUGCUGUUGAACCCAAUUUUGAGCUUUGAUGGGGUCUGUCAUGUUCUGAAGGUACUCAUUUCCAAGUCCAAUAAUGAAAUCGACAUUUGAAUUGGAGAAGGCAAGUAGGACAUUUGGAUCAGCAUCAUAGAGUUUUACCCUUGUAAUGUUCAAGGAUUGAAGGAGAAGCGCAACUCGAGAUGGAGAUGGAAGAUUGUUAGCAAUCUGGCCAUAGUUGAUCCCAACGCCAAGGCUGUGUAUUUGAACAACUGAGAGAGAGAGAAGCAAGAAAAGCAGUCUAAAAAGGACAAAGCAGCUGGCCAUGACUGAUCUGAUCUUUGGUUAAACCAAGACCACCACCUUGCCUUACCUUGCUUCCACCACGAACCGCCCCACGAGCUGAAUCCCAACCAAACGCACCUCUUGCCAACUAAC
rnacentral:misc_RNA from 1 species